UUUUAUUCUAUUUUAUAUAAAAGUCCUCUCAGGCUUUUUCAAAAACAGUUGUCAGUUUAGGCAUAUAUUCCUACUUUAACUUGUAUGUAUGUUUGUUAAGACUAUUGCUUGUCUGUAGAUGGCAAUAGCAUUACAGUGCUGAAGUAGCCCCCAGCCUGUAAAAUAAGGCUGUGAUGCUGGUGAGCAUUAACUUUCAGAAUAAGAGAAAAAAAUAUCUUGCCUUUUUCUUUUAUGUUUGUUUGAUUGUUUUGUUUGUUUGUUUCAUGUCUGCAGCAGUGGCAGUGGGGACUGUUCUACUUGCAGGAAUGUUGGGACUAAUCAUGUGAGAAAAGAUCCUGGAGUGAUGAGGCAGCAUAUUUCCCAUGUCUGAGGUCAGGAUUUGUUCUGUGAAGCUGACCUUUAAAACAGCCUGAAAAUGAGGAACGUGACACCAGAGCAGAGCAGGAAGCAUGAAAUUAUUUCAUAUAAUUUUGUGUACCUAAAUGCAAGCCUAGCACAGCCUAUGAAGAACCUUUGGAAACUGCAAUACAGGGAAACUGAGGCACCAGGUGUAUUCAGACCCAGGAAACUGCAGAAAGAAAAAUCCUGAACCUUAAUGCUGUUAGCCAAGUCAUGAUGGAGAGACUGUUCUUUGUCCUUGCUAAGUGGCUGGUGACCCUUCUGGUCACUGUUUGAAACCUGCUCAGUUGCUUUUUUUCAUGUUUAGAUUGCUGCAAAAUAGGUGACAUCUAUCCAGCUGUGUUGUCAUCACAAACACCUUUGCUAAAAGAAAAGCCAUUAAUGGUUUUCCUUUUCAGAUCAAAACCCAGCAACAGCAAAAAGUGCCUCUUCACUCCCUCCAAAGCCUUUGGAAGACUGUCUUGUUCUACCCAAAAUACUCCAAUUGUUCCCUCAAUCUGCACAGUAACAAAUACUGAGAACCAGUAAUUCUGAAAGACAGAAUUGCACUAUUUAUUAUUUUGUUUAAAAAGCAGUUAAAUUUUUGGGCAUUUUGUUUAAAAAGCAGUUAAAUUUUUGAACAUUCUUUGGUCAAUCAAGUAUUUGAAAGAAGUUACUUGGGAGAUUCUCAGCCAGGACGUGACAUUUAAAAAACAUGAAGUGUUUCACAUGGUCCAUAAUCCCCAGGAUUUUACUUCCUAUGACAGCAAAAUAUUAUACCACAUCAAUAAAGGUCACUUGAAACAACCUUUAAAAAUAACU
rnacentral:lncRNA from 1 species